rnacentral:rRNA from 1 species
GACGAACGCUGGCGGCGUGCUUAACACAUGCAAGUCGAACGGAAAGGCCCUGCUUUUGUGGGGUGCUCGAGUGGCGAACGGGUGAGUAACACGUGAGUAACCUGACCUUGACUUUGGGAUAACUUCAGGAAACUGGGGCUAAUACCGGAUAGGAGCUCCUGCUGCAUGGUGGGGGUUGGAAAGUUUCGGCGGUUGGGGAUGGACUCGCGGCUUAUCAGCUUGUUGGUGGGGUAGUGGCUUACCAAGGCUUUGACGGGUCGCCGGCCUGAGAGGGUGACCGGCCUCAAUGGGACUGAGAUACGGCCCAGACUCCUACGGGGGGCAGCAGGGGGGAGUAUUGCACAAUGGGCGGAAGCCGGAUGCAGCAACGCCGCGUGCGGGAUGACGGCCUUCGGGUUGUAAACCGCUUUCGCCUGUGACGAAGCGUGAGUGACGGUAAUGGGUAAAGAAGCACCGGCUAACUACGUG